UACGGAGGGUGCAAGCGUUAUCCGGAUUUAUUGGGUUUAAAGGGUCCGCAGGCGGGCCGAUAAGUCAGUGGUGAAAUCUCAUAGCUUAACUAUGAAACUGCCGUUGAUACUGUCGGUCUUGAGUAAAUUAGAGGUAGCUGGAAUAAGUAGUGUAGCGGUGAAAUGCAUAGAUAUUACUUAGAACACCAAUUGCGAAGGCAGGUUACCAUGAUUUAACUGACGCUGAGGGACGAAAGCGUGGGGAGCGAAC
rnacentral:rRNA from 1 species